rnacentral:rRNA from 1 species
UACGUAGGGUGCAAGCGUUAAUCGGAAUUACUGGGCGUAAAGCGUGCGCAGGCGGUUUUGUAAGUCUGAUGUGAAAUCCCCGGGCUCAACCUGGGAAUUGCAUUGGAGACUGCAAGGCUAGAAUCUGGCAGAGGGGGGUAGAAUUCCACGUGUAGCAGUGAAAUGCGUAGAUAUGUGGAGGAACACCGAUGGCGAAGGCAGCCCCCUGGGUCAAGAUUGACGCUCAUG